UAUACGACCGUACCGCAAACCGACACUGGUGCGCGAGAUGAGUAUUCUAAGGCGCUUGAGAGAACUCAGGAGAAGGAACUCGGCAAAUUGACACCGUAACUUCGGAAGAAGGUGUGCCCUAUUAGUGUGUAGUGAACAACGAAGCAUGAAUGGGUUGCAAAAAAUCGGUGGCUGCGACUGUUUAUUAAAAACACAGCACUCUGCAAACACGAAAGUGGACGUAUAGGGUGUGACGCCUGCCCGGUGCUGGAAGAUUAAAUGAUGGGGUGCAAGCUCUUGAUUGAAGUCCCAGUAAACGGCGGCCGUAACGAUAACGGUCCUAAGGUAGCGAAAUUCCUUGUCGGGUAAGUUCCGACCUGCACGAAUGGCGUAACGAUGGCCACACUGUCUCCUCCUGAGACUCAGCGAAGUUGAAAUGUUUGUGAUGAUGCUAUCUCCCCGCGGAAAGACGGAAAGACCCCAUGAACCUUUACUGUAGCUUUGUAUUGGACUUUGAACAGAUCUGUGUAGGAUAGGUGGGAGGCUUUGAAGCAGGGUCACUAGAUCUUGUGGAGCCAACGUUGAAAUACCACCCUGGUGUGUUUGAGGUUCUAACCUAGGUCCAUUAUCUGGAUCGGGGACAGUGCAUGGUAGGCAGUUUGACUGGGGCGGUCUCCUCCCAAAGCGUAACGGAGGAGUUCGAAGGUACGCUAGUUACGGUCGGACAUCGUGACGAUAGUGCAAUGGCAUAAGCGUGCUUAACUGCGAGACUGACAAGUCGAGCAGAUGCGAAAGCAGGACAUAGUGAUCCGGUGGUUCUGUAUGGAAGGGCCAUCGCUCAACGGAUAAAAGGUACUCUGGGAUAACAGGCUGAUACCGCCCAAGAGUUCAUAUCGACGGCGGUGUUUGGCACCUCGAUGUCGGCUCAUCUCAUCCUGGGGCUGUAGCCGGUCCCAAGGGUAUGGCUGUUCGCCAUUUAAAGAGGUACGUGAGCUGGGUUUAAAACGUCGUGAGACAGUUUGGUCCCUAUCUUCCGUGGGCGCUGCAGAUUUGAGGAAGCCUGCUCCUAGUACGAGAGGACCGGAGUGGACACACCUCUGGUGUAUCGGUUGUCACGCCAGUGGCAUUGCCGAGUAGCUAAGUGUGGAAGAGAUAACCGCUGAAAGCAUCUAAGCGGGAAACUCGUUUCAAGAUGAGAUCUGCCGGGGCCUUGAGCCCCCUAAAGAGUCGUUCAAGACCAGGACGUUGAUAGGUCAGGUGUGGAAGUGAAAAA
rnacentral:rRNA from 1 species